CACAGUGACUGCCCUGGCUUUCUUUGCUUUGCCUCCUGUCUGUGUUUGAAAUCCCGAAAUCACCGCCUUGAGCUCUGAAGCCCAGCGGCUCCGAGGCUGCAAGCCUCUCCGCUGGCCCCAGAUGUGCAGCAUGCAGCUUGAAUCUCUGAGGACUCUGGUGGUGGAUGCCAACUCCAACUCACAGUGGGAAUCUGGCCCACAGGACCCAGCCUGCCACCCUCCAGGGAGCCGUGGAGAUUUCAGGAUUUCUCCUCUGCGAAAUGGGGAUAACAGCUCCCUCUUCAUCCGGUUAUGGUCAGGGCUGACCUAAGGGGGCUGAGGGUGAAGGCCACAGGCUGAGAAGCUCUUGCCAGUGGUCAGUGAGGAGCAGCAAAUUCGGGUCUUGGCACUUGAACUGUGGGAGGAUCAAUGCUGCUUGAAGCCAUCGGUUUCUGGGAAUUUGUCACAGCAGCCCAGGAAACACAUGCAGAAGGUUUGGAGAUUGGUCUUUCCGAUGACUAGGGUGCUUUGUGCCCAUUUCAACACUCUCUGCCCUCAGUGGCACAUUCAGACCACGUUGACUUGGGCAAUGGAGUCACCCUCUUUGGUUUCUGAAAUGCGGACACACGUUACAAUGGAAACGAGCACUUGGGGCUCCCUGUCUCGGAAAAGUUGUUGAAUCAAUGCACGUUGAUUGCUUCAGCAAUCUAGGAAAUACUAUGUAAGUUUUCUUUAAACAAUGCCAGUAUGGCCACAGCGCCCCCCAGAAUUCUACUAUUCAUUCACUCACUCAUUUACCUCAUUUACUCAUUCAUUCAUUCAUUCAUUCAUUCAUUCAUUCAGUGUUCCGUCCCUGAUGAUUUGGUUAUGACCAAAGCAGACACAAUCGCUGACCUCAGGGAGCAUGUGUUCUGGUGCAAGAACUGACGCUGAGGUCCCCCUGACUCUUUGCUUAUCCUUCUGACAGCAAAAGUUGUCAGGAAAACAGACAGAAACAAAAAAUGCCCACUCUGGACUGAAUUGUAAAUCUUACCCCUUUCUCCUCACCCAAAGCCCAACAAAGCAAUUUGAAAUUCCAAACCUGUGACCACUGGACAAGAUCACCUUUCUCCCACUGAGAAGAAGAUCAGCGUUGGCUCGGGCCAAGUCUGGGAGACAGACAAGGCCUCCUUUCAACAUCGUGCCUCCAGGGGAACCAGGCCAAGUAUCGGCCCUCCAGAGACAGCUGCAGCCCUUGGAGGCCUCCCCACUGAGUCCACACCCCUGGCCCAGGGCACUCAGGCUAGCUGACCGGCCCUGCUCCCUGGCCAGCCUCAUUUCCUCCUGUUCUCUUGCUUGGUGCCCCUAGCAGCCGUCUUGCACCUGGCCACUGCUUCCCACGCCAGGGCCUUUGCCUUUGCUGUUCCCCUGCCUGGCAUGGUCUCGUCAUUCAGGGCUCAGCCUGAAUGUCACCUCCUCCUGGAAGCCUUACCCUCAUCUCGUUAUGUCCUACCCCAUCACCCUAUUUCUUUCCCUUGGGUCACCAGUAAGAACCUGGGUUGAGCUUGUGCAGCCGUCUCAUUGUCUUAGCCUCACGAAACUGUAAACCCUUUGACAAAAGGGAUCUGUCUGGUUUGUUUGACGUGUAACCCCAGCUUCCAGCCUAGCACAGAGAAAGCUCCAUGGAGACACUGACUGUCAGAUGACUGCAGACCUCCCCACAAGGAGGAGGGAAGCUGGCCUCCAAGGAGGCGCAUCCCACAGUGCAGUGGUCUCUGGCCAGGGUGGGUCAUUACGCCAUUGGUUUAUAGCGCCAUUUGCUUCGGCCCCUUUUGGUGGCAUCCCAGGGUUUAAAGUGACCAGGCAGCUAGUGUGGGGAGACGGGACACAGCUGUCUGAGGUCAGGGGGUCUGUAUGUGCCUCUCCGGCAGGGAACAGCCUCGGCCGUCAGAAGCCAGGUUUCAGCAUUUAGGAUGCAGCCAACAGCCAAAUUGCUUUCUUGGUUUUAUAUAUAAGGGCUUUUUUUGGUACCAUAAGGGCGGGUGGACAGGGCUGCCUUUGCUUCCUGGAGGGUCUGGUUCCUUUCGGGGAAGGUCUCAGUUGGCCACUGGAGUAACAGCACUGCGUCGGCCCAUGUGGCCAGCCAGCAUCCCUGUGCUCAUGGCUAAGGACAGGCUGUUACUCUGUUCUGCGGGUCUUGAAGUCAUUUGGUCAAGUGGACUUCAGAAGGAGAGAGAGAGAAGGACAGACAGCAUCCAUGGAGACUGCCACAGAGAAUGGAAAGAGAAUGGGAUCUGCAGUCUGAUGGGCUGGCAUAUCUCAGCAGCAGCAACAACAACACAAUAAUAUGGAAUUCAGUCCAGGCACGGUGGUUCCCGCCUGUAAU
rnacentral:lncRNA from 1 species